UACGUAGGGUGCAAGCGUUGUCCGGAAUUAUUGGGCGUAAAGGGCUCGUAGGCGGUUUGUCGCGUCGGGAGUGAAAACUCAGGGCUUAACCCUGAGCCUGCUUCCGAUACGGGCCGACUAGAGGUAUGCAGGGGAGAAUGGAAUUCCUGGUGUAGCGGUGAAAUGCGCAGGUAUCAGGAGGAACACCGGUGGCGAAGGCGGUUCUCUGGGCAUUACCUGACGCUGAGGAGCGAAAGUGUGGGGAGCGAACAGG
rnacentral:rRNA from 1 species